rnacentral:rRNA from 1 species
GAUGAACGCUGGCGGCGUGCUUAACACAUGCAAGUCGAACGGGAAUUACUUUAUUGAAACUUCGGUCGAUUUAAUUUAAUUCUAGUGGUGGACGGGUGAGUAACGCGUGGGUAACCUGCCUUGUACAGGGGGAUAACAGUCAGAAAUGACUGCUAAUACCGCAUAAGCGCACAGGACCGCAUGGUCCGGUGUGAAAAACUCCGGUGGUAUAAGAUGGACCCGCGUUGGAUUAGCUUGUUGGUGGGGUAACGGCCCACCAAGGCGACGAUCCAUAGCCGGCCUGAGAGGGUGAACGGCCACAUUGGGACUGAGACACGGCCCAGACUCCUACGGGAGGCAGCAGUGGGGAAUAUUGCACAAUGGGGGAAACCCUGAUGCAGCGACGCCGCGUGAAGGAAGAAGUAUCUCGGUAUGUAAACUUCUAUCAGCAGGGAAGAAAAUGACGGUAC